GUGGUGGGGUCUCAGCUUCAGGGACCUGAGCCUGCCUCCAGCCACCCCACUCAGUCUUUCUGCUCCUGCGGCAUGGGCUGACGGUGGCCACGGGCUGAAGGUGAUGUUUCCUAAAAUAGUCCCUAUGCUGCCACCCCUUCCUCAGCAACAAUCAGGGUCCCUGGGCAGUAGGCUCAGGUCAUGGCUCCCAGAGCUGCCUCUGGGCCUCAACCCUGUGAUGGGGGAGGGGUGUGCCCUCGGCUAAUGUGCCCUGCCCUCCCCAGGGCACAGCUGGCUCAGCUGGUGCAGGCAGGACAGGGCUGCCUAAGCCUCUCAGAGGGAGGACGGCCAAGGGAAAUGGGCUGGCUGUGCACGGAAGGUCCAGUCCCAGCUGCCGGCACAGGGAACAGCCUGUGGGGAGGUGCCCCAGGACCGGGUGACAGGGCCCUGCCAGAAGAGGAGUGAGGCUGGGCGGUGAGGAGGCAGCCCAUUGGAGCCUGGCUGGGGCAGUGUGGGUGGGACCUCGGCCUGGUAGCCUCUGGCCACAGCGGGGCGCUGCAGGACAGCCAGGAGACCCAAGGGUGUUGACACUCUCCCGGGAAACCGCAGGCUGUGCCUUCCCCAACCC
rnacentral:lncRNA from 1 species